AUGAAUCUGCAGUGCACUCCCUUCCUUCUUCUCCAACAGCAACAUCAAGCUACCCCAAGAAACGUUUCCUCGACCAUGAAAAUUAGGGUUUCCAUCUUUCAAAGGCAAAGGUUCCUUCUAAAUUUUUUCCUACUUGAAAAUUAGGGUUUUCGUGCUUCUUGAUUCUGAGUUUCUUGUCUUUUAUUCUGUUCUUCGUUUAGAAUAGAGAUAAUUUUAGAAUCGUUUGGUUUUAUCAAAUUGCAAUUAUUUUUCGCUAGUCGACUGAUCACGUUCUUAUUCUUUUUAAGUUUUCCGGGUGAACUAUUUACAACUUAGAAUAUGCAGAACGAAUCAUUGUGAUCUUUUGUUUUUAUCCAUUUAAACAUCUUUUUAAGUCCUUUUCCUGUCCAAAUGAAGUUCUUAUGGCUUUUCUGAGUUAUUCUCUGUUAGGUUAUUAAAUUUUGGGGGGUUUUCCUUUAAUUUUUUCUACUUUGUUGUAUCUUGUUGAAUUUCAGGGUUCUUUCUCUUCUAUAUUUUUUUGAGUCAUGCAAUAUCAUUUAUGGUGCACUUUUAUUUCAACUAUCAUAAAUAUCUUUCAUAGGGUUUAAUAAAUUUUCUUACAUUUGUUGAGAUAUCUCUAAUACCAUAAGGAUUCGUUAGAUGGCUUAUCUGCCCCAUAUUAUUCAUGCUUUUAUACAUUGCCUUCUUAUUUGGAGAUAGAAGUUCAGUUUUCUUAUCCAUCCACUAAAUUACUUUCUUUGAACUUAUUUCUUUCUUUAAAAUUAGCAACCGUAAAAGAACAUAAAUUCUUGCAAUUUUACUUGUAAUAAGCGCCUUUACCUUUGAAAAAUUAACCCAAAUAUAGCUUUCAUUUUUUUUUAAUAAAAGGCAUAUACUUUGAAAAAUCUACCAAUUAUAGCAUUGUACUUCAGUUUUCUUAUUAUAAACAUGUAUCCUUUUGGUUGAAAUUAUUCCAAUUAUAGCAUUACACAUUGCAGUAUCUUUUCUGUUACAACUUUUUAGCUUUCAAUUUUGUUUACCUAACACAUUUUACUUUGAAAAUUCUACCAAUUAUGGCAUUAUAGUUUCAGUUUUCUUUUUUAAAGCACUUUUCGAUUUCUUAUAAACACAUUUCCCUUUGAAAAAUUAACACAAUAAUAACAUUGCACUUCUCAUUGUCUUUGAGUUACAAAAUUGCAACUUUCAACUUUCUUAUCCAAGCAAUUUAUUUGGAAAAAUCAACCAGUUAUAGCAUUUUACUUUCAGUUUUCAUUUUGAAAAAUAAACCCAAUUAUAGCAUUGAACUUUGUGGUAUCUUUCUUUUACAACUUUGUGCUCACUUUUCUUUUUAUAAGCACAAAUUUCCUUUUGAUAAAUCAACCCACUUAUAGCAUUGCACUUUUCAGUUUUCAUUUUGUUACUAUAUUGUAGAUUUUUUUAUUUUUUUCCUAUCAAGACAUUUUACUGUGAAAAAACUACAAAUUUUAACAUUGUAUCUUCAGUUUUCUAAUUUUAAGCAUAAUUCCCUCUAAAGGGCGUUAUCAAGAGCACUAAGAAACUUUGUGCAGUAUGUUUCUUUUGAUGGAUUUUUGUGUAGUUUCACUUUAACCAUCAGAAUUUAGAAAUGUGUAUCAUAUGGUUUGAUGAAUUCUUUCUGAAAAUUUAAUUUUGAACUAAUUCAUCUACAUGUGUGUUUUCUUUCUGGGUUUCUGUAAAGAGCAAAUUAACAUUGUGAUCUUUUGGUUUUAUUCAUUUAAACUUCUUUUUAUGUUCUUAUCCUAUCCAAAUGUUUGUAUGGUUAUUCUGAGUUAUUCUUUGUUAAGUUAUUAAAUUUUGGGGAUUUUACCUAUAAUUUUUCUACUUUGCUCUAUCUUGUUGAAUUUCAGGGUUCUUUCUCUUCUAUGUUUUUUGAGUCAUGAAAUAUUAAUAAUGUUACUGUUUUGUUUCAACUAUCAUACAUAUCUAUUAUAGGGUUUGAUGAAUUUUCUUAAAUUCAUUGAGAUGUCUCUUAUCUACAAAAUAAGUCAAAAAGAAACAACAAUGUAUAGAAACAACCCUCAAUAUUAUAUUUAUAUUCAUCUUUUUCCUUUUUGAUGUAUGUAAUAUAAUUUCAUUUGUUUGCUCAAUGUGGAUGUUCAUGUGGGUGUCUUGUGUCAAUUGUCUCUUUUUUUUUCCUUGCUUGUAUUAUUAUUUUCUGAGGCUAAUGUCAGGAUGCUCUGUUUAAAAGCUGUUUCUCUCUUGUAGACUAAUUCUUUAAAAAUUUGAUAUGCUGAAGUCAUCUCCUCAUCUCUAAAAGGUGUUCUAUAUCAUAACAAAAUUAUUAAACUUUUAACUCUUUGAAUCUCUUAUAUGUUCUUUUUUUUUUUUCUUUCUUUCAGCUACAAAAAAAACAUAGAUUAUGGUCUAGUGUUUAAUCUCCACACAGAUCAAAGACAGGUAAAAACCUCAGAAAAAAUUAUAUGAGGCUUAUCAUAAUAUCACUUUUACCUUGUUAUUAUUUUCCACACAGAUGUUUCUUUUAUAUUAUUUCCAUUUACUUGUGUUCUUAGUUCUUGUCACUUUUACCUUGUUAAUUCUUGAUGUAUGUAUUAGUUUACAUAGAUUAUCAUUUCAAACCAAAACAACUUCAAUAAGAUAAUGGGCUAAAUGCAAUAAAUGCAAAAUAAUUUCAUUUAUCUCUACAAUUGCAUUGGAACUUUCAAAAAAAUUCUUAUCAAAGCAUGUUUUCCUUUUGAAAAUUUGCAACAUUGUAACUUUCAUGUUUUUCUUAUCAAGGCAUUUUACUCUCAGUUUGCAUAUUAUAAACAUAUUUUUAUUUGAAAAAUUAACCCAUUUAUAUCUUUUCUCUUUUUGUUCUUUUUAUGUUACAACAUUGUUACAUUAAAUUUUUUUUCAUCAAGGCUCUCUUUAAAAAAUCUACCAGUUAUAGCAGUGUUAUUUGAGUUUUUCUUGAUUUAAGCACAUUUCCUAUUGAAAAAUGAAUCCGAUUUUAACUUUUACUUUGUUUCCAUAUUAAGGAAUUGCAUGUUUUAGUUUUCUUUUUGUUACAACCUUAUAACUUUCAUUUUUUUUUCUUAUCCAAGUAUUUUACAUUAAAAAUCCCUCAAAUUAUUCAAUAAGGCAUUUUAUCUUGAAAAAUAUACCAAUUAUAGCUUUGUAUAAAAAGCAAUUUCCCUUUGAAAAGUCAACCAAGUUUUAAUAUAAUCUCAUUUCCUUUUGAAAAACAACCCAUUUGUAGCAUGGCAGUAUUCGGUUUUCUUUAUCUUACAACAUUUUUAAUUUCAAACGCAUUUUAUUUUUGGAAAUCUAUUCAUUGUAGCAGUGUACAUUCAAUUUUAUUUUAGACUCAUAGCAUUGCACUUUUCAGUUUUCUUUGUUCUACAAUAUUGUAGCUUUCAAAGGUUUUCUUAUUUGGGUAUAUUUUACUUUGAAACAUUUAUCAAAUUUUUUAUCAGGGCAUUUUUGUUAAAAAAUUCUUUCAGUUUUUUUAGGUUGGAUCAUUUUGUCUUUAUGUUAGAACAUUUUUAUUUUCAAAACUUUUCUUAUUAAGUCUUUUUAUGUUGAAAAAUCUACCAAUUGCAGCUUGGCAUUUUCCAGUUACAACAUCUUUAUUUUUUUUCUUAUCAAGACAUUUUUAUUUUGAAAGUCAAACUCUUAUAGUGCUGUACUUUCAUUUUUUUUUAUUAUAAGCACAUUUUUUUCUUUUGAAAGUCAAACUCUUAUAGUGCUGUAACUUUCAAAUGUUUUCUCCUUAAGAUACUGUAUCUUUUUUAACUAUCAGAAUUUGGAAAUGUGUAUCAUAUUCAUAGGGUAAGAUGAUUUUUUUUUUCCUGAAAAUAGUUGAGAUGUGUCUUUGUUCAGUGUGACGCUUUGUUAAAUGCCUAAUUGCCUAUCAUAGGGUAAGAUGAUUUUUUUUUUUUUUUUUUUUUUUUUUUUUUUUUUUUUUUUUUUCUGAAAAUAGUUGAGAUGUGGCAUGUCUGCUAUUCUUUAUGAAUUAGAUGAUGUUGAUAAGCUUAGGCAUUUUGGUGAUAUGGAAGUGUCUUCAUUUCUAAAUGGUUUAGGUUAUUUGCUCUUUCCAAUUAUUAUCCUCUUGAUAAUGAAUCUUAAAAGAUCAUCUCAACUUUUUUUUUUUUUUUUUUGCAGUUGUUAUGCUGAUUAAAUGCAUGUAUGUUUAGUCUUCAUCAACUCAUAAUUCAGACACUCAAUUCAUAUUCAUAGUAGUUAGUGUAAGUGUAGAUUAUUAACCUUUUUGUUUUUUCAAUCUUAAGAAUCACCUCAUUCUCUUUCUACACAUAUAUAUGGUUUUUUUCCUACUUUGAAAUUUAGGGUUUUUGAGUUUCUUGAUUAAGUUUUUCUUGUUUUUCAUCUCGUCCUUCAUUUGAAACUUAGAUAAUCUUUGAAUCCUUUGGUUUUAUUCAUUUGUGGGUUUUAUGCAAAUUUCAUCUGUUUCUCCUUUUUCUUCUUUUUUUAGUACAAAUGAAGCUCUUAUGCAAAUUUCAGCUCAUGUGCAUAUUUCAGUUUUAUUUCUGUUACAACAUUGUAACUUUCAUGGUUUUUCUUAUUAAGCCAUUUAUACUUUCAAAAUACUUGCAGUUACUGGAUUGUACUUUCAUUUUGUUAAUUAUACACACGUUUUCAUUUAAAAAAAAUCAACCCGUUUGUUACAUUGACAAAUCUGCUAGUUAUAUAGCAUUGUACAUUCAGUUUUUUUUAUAAGCAUAUUUUCCUUUUAGUUUUCUAACUUUCAAAUUUUAUAUUAUUAAUUCAUUUUAAGGUAAAAAAUAUAUCAACUUUUUUCUUAUCAUGGCAUUUAUUUUUGAAAAAUCCACCAAUUAUAGCUUUGUACUUUGAUUUUUUCCUUUUAUGGCAUUGUACUUUGAAAAGAUCACCAAAUGUGACAUUCAACUUUCAAAAAUACUAUAAGCACAUUAUUCUUUAAUGGCUUUUUUUUAAAACUUAUAAGAACAUUUUCUCUGUAAAAAAAUUAUUAGAACAUUUUUUUAAUUUAUAGCAAACCAGCUUCAGUUCUUAAUCCAGGUAUGUUCUAUUCUAUUAAACAUUUGUAUGUAUUUUGUUGUGUGUUCUAAAUCCCUAUCACUUAUAGUGGAUAUACAGUAUACUAAAUUCUUGCUGUGAGUAUUAGUUUACAUUGAUCAGCAUUUCAAACCAAAAGAACUUUAACAAGAAAUUGGGUUAAAUACAAUAAAUAGCAAAAUACUUCCAUUUCUUUCUAUCAAGGCAUUUUACUUUGAAAAAUCUACCAAUUAUAGCAAUGCAUUUUUUAGUUUUCAUACUAUUAAGAACACUUUUCUUUUGAAAAUCAGCAUUGCAAUUUUCAUUUUUAUUUCUGUUACAACAUUAUAACUUUCAUGUUUUUUCUUAUCAAAGGCAUUGUCCUUGAAAAAUAAUUCAGUUACAGCAUUGUACUUUCAGUCUGCUUAUUAUAAACACAUUUUUAUUUGAAAAAUCAACCCAUUUAUAUCUUUUCCCUUUUUAUCUUUCUCUAUGUCACAACAUUGUAAAAUCCAUCAUUUUUUUUUAUCAAGACAUUUUUUUUUUAAAAUCUACUAAUUAUAUUAUUGUACUUUCAGUUAUCCUAUAAAAAGCACAUUUCCCUUUGAAAAAUUAACCAAGUUAUAGCAUUGCACUUUUUGGUUUUCUUUCUUUUACAACAGUGUAACUUUUAAUCUGUUUUUAUCAAGGGAUUUUAUUUUGAAAAGUUGAUUAACUAUAUAGCAUUGGAUUUUAGUUUUCUUAUAAGCAUGUUUCCCUUUAAAGAUCAAUACAGUUAUAGCAUUGUAUUUUAGUUUUCUUUCAAUUACUACUUUGUAACUUUCAAACUUUUUCUUAUCAGGGACAUUAUUUUUUUCUUCUUGAUUUUUUUAGGUAGUAUAUUCUUGCUUUCUUGCUUUGCCUUGUUAUUUGGAGAUAGAAGUUAGGAUUUCCUUUUUGUUCACUGAAUUUACUAUCUUUUGGUGACAAUGGAGCUUUUUUAGGUUGUGUAACUUGUUGUUGAAGCAAAAUCAUUGUAAUUAAGUUUUCCAUUUAUUAACUUUUUUGUUCAUAUGUUUACUAGAAAUCAGUUAUAGUCAACCAAUGAUUGGUGGUAUUAUUAUUUUUUCCUAUCUUAGUCUAGUUGUCCUUCUCAUAAAUGUUUGUUGAAUAUCUCUUCUCUAUUUUUCGAUAAAAUGAGACACUGUCUUUAAAAGCCUGUUUCUCUCGUGUAUAGUUUAAGCUAUUGUUAUUAUUAUUAUUAUUAUUUGAACAAAUGGUGCAACUAGUAGGUUUUAAUUUUUGUUUGUUGCAUGAAUGUUUUCAUGUAUUUUCUUUUGGGCUAUACAAAUAAACAAUAUCGGUGUCACUUAUAUAAGCUUAAGGGGUUGUCCUUUUUGACUUAAUGAGCUUAAUGGGUUAAGCAAUUGAUAUUGAUAACUAUAUGUUUUCAGACAGUAACAUUUUACAUAUUCAUUCGUCUAUUUUUUUUUUCUUUCAGCUCCUUCCACAUUAAAAUUGAUGAAUACUGUGAAUAUGUAUUAAUUUUUUGGAAAUUCAGGAUGAAAUGGUCAUUUAAUCUCAUUCAGACAGUUUUUUCAGUAUAAAAAAGAAACAACUCCUUACUUCCCUUCAGAAAUAAUGAUGUUUACUUUGGCCAAUGUGUAUUCUAUGUCUACAUCCACUAGAUUUUUUUUUUUUUUUUAAAUAAAUUACAUGAUAUUGAUAAGCUUAGGCAUGGUGGUGAUUUGUAUAUGGUUUAAGUUAUUUGCUCUUUCCUCUUCCCUUCCUCUUCCAUUAUUAAUCUCUUGACACUCAAUUCAUAUUCAUAGUAGUGUAGGUUUAUAGAUUAUUAACCUUUUGUUUUUUGAAUCUUAUGAUCAUCUUAGCUUUUUUUCUAUAGUUGCUAUGGCCUAUGGUGACUAAAUGCAUGUAUAUAUUAGUUGUCAUCAACUCUUUAUUCAGACACUUGAUUCAUAGUGGUGUAAGAUUAUUAUUAUUAUUAACCUUUUGAUUUUGAAUCUUAAGAUUAUCUCAUUCUUUUUCUACAGUUUCUAUAAAUGCAUGUAUGCAUAUAAAUAUUCAGUUCUUGUCAUGCUUGGGAUCUUUUAGUUAAUGACUUUUCCCAUCAUUAACCUUUUCAUUAUGACAUCUAAUUUAUUUCUACAUUUGCUGUAGUGGAGGAAAAUGCACAUAUGUCUACUGAAAGUCAGUUCUUGGUGGUAAUAUGCAGCUGUUAUGAACUGUCAGAGGUAUAACAGCAGUUUGUCCAUUCUUAUUUCAUGUGCAUCCUUUCUAUUUUAUAUCUUUUACAUUUUUUUGUUUGUAAAGUUAAUCUUUUUUAAAUGGCUUAUCUAAAAUUAAUCUUUUUUUUUUGAAGAGUUUUGAUUUUUGAAUGGCAGAGGUUCCUUAUAUAAUUCUUUCCUACUUAGAAAUGAAAUUUAGGGUCUUUGAGUUUCUUGGUUAUGAGUCAUUGAGUUGCUUGUUUUUCAUCAUGUUCUUCAGAUAAUCUUAAUAAUCUUUUGGUUUUAUUUAAUUGUAACUGGUUUUGAUAAUCGAUUGUUGUUCUUAUUAAGUUCAAUCAUUUAUUUAUAACAAAGAAGAUACACAUAAUGAAUUUUGGGGGAUCAUGCAAUCCAAGAAACUUGACUUAAUGUAUUAAGACUGUUUUGUUUUUUAGCUUAAUCUGGAACAGGAAAUCCAAGAAACCUGACUUAAUGUAUUAAGACACCAACACUUUACACAUUUGUCUUUUCUUUCUUUCAGUUUCUCCUACUGUUAAAAUGUUAAACAUGUAUUAGUUUUUUGGAAAUUGAGGGUGAAAUGGUCAUUUAGUGUCACUUUACCUUUUGGUAAUAAAUCUUAAGAUCAUCUCUGC
rnacentral:lncRNA from 1 species